CACGUAGGGGGCAAGCGUUGUCCGGAAUUAUUGGGCGUAAAGAGCUCGUAGGCGGCUCGGUAAGUCAGGUGUCAAAUCCUCAGGCUCAACCUGGGGCUCCACCUGAUACUGCUGUGGCUAGAGUCCGGUAGGGGAGCGUGGAAUUCCUGGUGUAGCGGUGAAAUGCGCAGAUAUCAGGAGGAACACCGAUGGCGAAGGCAGGUCUCUGGGCAUUAACUGACGCUGAGGAGCGAAAGCAUGGGGAGCGAACAGG
rnacentral:rRNA from 1 species